rnacentral:rRNA from 1 species
GACGAACGCUGGCGGCGUGCUUAACACAUGCCAGUCGAACGGAAAGGCCCUGCUUUUGUGGGGUGCUCGAGUGGCGAACGGGUGAGUAACACGUGAGUAACCUGCCCUUGACUUUAGGAUAACUUCAGGAAACUGGGGCUAAUACCGGAUAGGAGCUCCUGCUGCAUGGUGGGGGUUGGAAAGUUUCGGCGGUUGGGGAUGGACUCGCGGCUUAUCAGCUUGUUGGUGGGGUAGUGGCUUACCAAGGCUUUGACGGGUAGCCGGCCUGAGAGGGUGACCGGCCACAUUGGGACUGAGAUACGGCCCAGACUCCUACGGGAGGCAGCAGUGGGGAAUAUUGCACAAUGGGCGGAAGCCUGAUGCAGCAACGCCGCGUGCGGGAUGACAGCCUUCGGGUUGUAAACCGCUUUCGCCUGUGACGAAGCGUGAGUGACGGUAAUGGGUAAAGAAGCACCGGCUAACUACGUG